AUUGGGACUGAGACACGGCCCAAACUCCUACGGGAGGCUGCAGUAGGGAAUCUUCCACAAUGGGCGAAAGCCUGAUGGAGCAACGCCGCGUGUGUGAUGAAGGCUUUCGGGUCGUAAAGCACUGUUGUAUGGGAAGAAAAGUUAAGGUAGGGAAUGACCUUAGCCUGACGGUACCAUACCAGAAAGGGACGGCUAAAUACGUGCCAGCAGCCGCGGUAAUACGUAUGUCCCGAGCGUUAUCCGGAUUUAUUGGGCGUAAAGCGAGCGCAGACGGUUGGUUAAGUCUGAUGUGAAAGCCCGGAGCUCAACUCCGGAAAGGCAUUGGAAACUGGUUAACUUGAGUGCAGUAGAGGUAAGUGGAACUCCAUGUGUAGCGGUGGAAUGCGUAGAUAUAUGGAAGAACACCAGCGGCGAAGGCGGCUUACUGGACUGUAACUGACGUUGAGGCUCGAAAGUGUGGGUAGCAAACAGGAUUAGAUACCCUGGUAGUCCACACCGUAAACGAUGAACACUAGGUGUUAGGAGGUUUCCGCCUCUUAGUGCCGAAGCUAACGCAUUAAGUGUUCCGCCUGGGGAGUACGACCGCAAGGUUGAAACUCAAAGGAAUUGACGGGGACCCGCACAAGCGGUGGAGCAUGUGGUUUAAUUCGAAGCAACGCGAAGAACCUUACCAGGUCUUGACAUCCUUUGAAGCUUUUAGAAAUAGAAGUGUUCUCUUCGGAGACAAAGUGACAGGUGGUGCAUGGUCGUCGUCAGCUCGUGUCGUGAGAUGUUGGGUUAAGUCCCGCAACGAGCGCAACCCUUAUUGUUAGUUGCCAGCAUUCAGAUGGGCACUCUAGCGAGACUGCCGGUGACAAACCGGAGGAAGGCGGGGACGACGUCAGAUCAUCAUGCCCCUUAUGACCUGGGCUACACACGUGCUACAAUGGCGUAUACAACGAGUUGCCAACCUGCGAAGGUGAGCUAAUCUCUUAAAGUACGUCUCAGUUCGGACUGCAGUCUGCAACUCGACUGCACGAAGUCGGAAUCGCUAGUAAUCGCGGAUCAGCACGCCGCGGUGAAUACGUUCCCGGGUCUUGUACACACCGCCCGUCACACCAUGGAAGUUUGUAAUGCCCAAAGCCGGUGGCCUAACCGUAAGGAGGAACC
rnacentral:rRNA from 1 species